GACGUAGGGCGCGAGCGUUGUCCGGAUUUAUUGGGCGUAAAGAGCUCGUAGGCGGCUUGUCGCGUCGACUGUGAAAUCCCGCGGCUCAACUGCGGGUCUGCAGUCGAUACGGGCAGGCUAGAGUUCGGUAGGGGAGACUGGAAUUCCUGGUGUAGCGGUGAAAUGCGCAGAUAUCAGGAGGAACACCGAUGGCGAAGGCAAUCUUCUGGACGGAUACUGACGCUGAGACACGAAAGCCAAGGUAGCAAACAGG
rnacentral:rRNA from 1 species